CUUCCAUUAACGCUAAAGGGUGAUACCAUUAAGACAAAUGUACAGUUAAUCUCUGGCACUGUGGAGAUAAAAAUAUCCCUCAGAGAGUGCUCUGGCUGGGCUGGAAACAUUCAUUAUCUGAGUUGCAUUUCGCAGCAUGAAGCACCUUUAUAGGCUGCUUUCUAAUUUUACUGCCCCUACCGUGUAUUUCUUAGGGGGAAGGAGAAGAGAAAAAGGGGACCUAUCCAUCGGAGAGAUGAAGGAAAUAGAGAUUGCUUCCUUCAAACCCCAGUGCACAGACAGUGUUUCACAUGAAUAGCAGAGAUCAGAUGAUUUUUGAUCUCUUUCCUGGAUCAUCAUCAUCAUUUCAGAAUUGCCUCAGAACACCAGGACACUUGCUACUUUUAUUUUAGUAGUAUCACAGUAGCCCUUGGAGAUGGAGCUUCCUAAUCUUUCCUCAUGUCAUGCCAACUAAUAGACAUAUGAAACAAGAGAUGAUCCAUAAUCAGACCCUACAACAGACAAAGGAGUAGAGCCUGGUGUGAAUCCAAAUCUUAAGAGGCCAGAAGCAUCUUUUCAUUGCUCCUCAUCUACCUAUAGUUCAGCAUGGUUUGACAUCACUGGUGUUGAGUACUGCAGUGUGUUUGUCCCAGAUGUUGCUCUAAGACCAGGUGCUGCAAACCUUUUGGAAUUAACUUCAUGCAGACCCCUUUCCCAAAGCAGAGGUAUUCCAGCUUUGAUAAGACAACACUGACAUUCACCUUCACUAUUCAGUUUGUCACCCUUUUUGCUCAAAAAUGAGGACUUUCAUCCCUUUCUUGUACACAGGCCUGGGUUUCACCCAAAGCUGACUGUGUUUCACUGCCAGCCAGGCUGAUCUAGUGGGAUGAAUGCUUUCUUCUGCUUCAUCAAGGAAAAGGAACUUAAACGAUCAGAACUUGCUGAGAAAAUUCUCCAUCUUUUCUAUGCAUUUCUCAGCUGUCAUCACUCUGCAAAAGACCAUUUAACACAACUUCAGCAAGACCUUUGAAAGAACAGCAGGGAAGAGUCUACCUGCUGAGCCCUUGUCCCCUGCUGAGCCUGUAGCUGGUUGGGAACAGAGCUGCUGCACCUUCAUGCAUUUCUUUGGAAAGAGGGAGCAGUGUUAAAAUUAGAACUGGUAGUGGAAAAGCAGCAAGGAGCAGGAAUUGCAGGGAAGGGGGAACAGAUGUAGGUCUCCAAUCACCUAUUCUGUAUUAGGGGUUUGCACGGCUGGGAAAUGCAGAAAUAGAUGGUCUGUAUACUCCUUUCCCUACUCCUUCAGUCCUAGGAGAAAGGUGAAAGAAACAGUUCUGCAAAGCAACAAAGUCGUGAUUUAGCAAGGCCAGAAACUUGUGCAGCAGCUCUGCAAGGGCUCAUGCAAACACACACACCUUUGGCUGCUGGAACCUGUUUGGCUGCCAGAGUGGACAUGAGCCAGAAGACCAGGUCACCCAAAAAAGCCAAAAAAUAAUAAAGAGCCCCAGACCUACAACAACAAAAAACAAGAAAUAGCACACAGUACUCCUCCAAAAUAACAACAGAAUCAGCCCCAUGAUGGACACAUUGAAGAUAAAGGAGCACCCACCAGGGAUGUAUUUGCCCUGGUGUAGUAAAUUCACUUUUGGAAGAGUUGCCAGCAGGGAUCUCAGAUUAAAAUCUCUCCUGCAGUAGGAAGCACCUCCAGGAGCUCAGCAUCUCCCUUCCCUUCCCCACAGUAUGAAGUACCAUUCCAAGUCCCAGUGUGAGACUUGAACCUGCAGUGACCUCCUGAGCCCUGCAGUGAAGGAUGCAUGAGCCAAUGAGUCAUGUUGACUCUGGCUUGGAUCUAAAUGGGCCUCUUCUCUCAUACCAGAGAAACCACGUUCACACAGCCACCGAAGUUGCCUGUAUCGGAUAACCCUCAGUGCAGGAGUUGGGUGGUGCUAGUUGCUGUCAUCCUUGCCAGGAGGGAAGGGGUGAGCAAUGGGGUGGGGAUAUCAAAACCCAGUUAAUCCAGAAGUUACAUCCUCUCUGUAAUUUAGGGUGCAGGAGAAAUUGUCAUCCAGUUUGAAUGGUAGAGACUAAACUAACCCUCUGGUUAAUGAAAAUGAUGACUUCUCUUUCUCUGUGGGUGGUCUUUUAUUUGAGUGAACAAGGGAUUGUUCACUGCAAGGGAUUGUUCAAUACAUCUUUUGAGAUGUCACUUUUUACUUGCCUGUCCUGUACACAACCAAGUCACCUUCCAGGGCUUUUUUGUGACAUCAUGAAGGUACCUUUGGGCAUUCCAAAUUGCCUCCUGCUGUGGGGCAGAUAGCGAAGUUGGUGGCUACUCUUGGCUCACCUUCUCCAUGCUCCUUACAGAUCUCCAGCUUCCAAUCUCCACAUCCCCUCUGCAGGCACUGCCUAAGUGAAACUGAAGAAAGAAGAAGGACUUGUCCAGAAUCCAGCAGCAAGCCAACACCAGAACUGGGAGAGCAACCCAGCCCUUCUGACUCCAAUGCCCCAGGCUUCGUCUGCUAGACAGGAGUGCUGGUCAUGUUUGAAUAAUGACAUUAUCUCUGCUAGACUAGUCAAAGCCCAAAAUAUUAGGCCUGAGCUGCAUGACCUGUUGUGCCAGUAAAAGCUGCCUUCUGUCAGCACAGCCAGUGUCCACAUCCAAUGCUGAGGCCUGGAAGGGGCAUGUCUAGUAAGACAACUUCUGCAUAGUGAAUGGUUUUUUACUCUGAAUACAUUCUAGUGCCACAGUGGGAUAGUCUUCCUAGAGAGUAAUGGUCAUACCUAGUAGCCAUCAAGGACUGUACCCAGUCGGUGGAGCUGAAACCUCAUGAGAGGCCUGUCUGCAGAUCUGCAGUGACAAGGGACAGUGCAGCUCUGGAGAGAUGGUUGCACACUCAACAUGUUCGCAUUCCCCAUGAUAUCAGUCAAGGCCUCUCACAACCAGGAUGUUGUAGUCUCUAACCAGUCUCCAAUCAGAUUCUACUCUCAAAAUUCUGCUGUGAGCAAAACAGGUAAAAGAAUGCCAAAACUUGCAGGUUUGGAUAAGCAGAGGACUGAACACAAAGUCAUUGGCAGGAACAUUUAAUGAGGAGCAAAGAGAAAAGGACUGAAUCAAAGGGAAAUUGCUGAUUAAUACCAAAGUGUAUGCAUAAAAAUACAUGUGCAUGAGUCAUCCACAAGAGAAAGAGAGACUCCAGAUAAAUCCAACUUGCUCUCUAAAAAGCGAAAAGUAGAAGGACUGUUCUGGAAAAUAAACAAUCAUUUGGAUGCAUUCAGAUCAAUCUGACUCCCACCAUCUGCUGAAACUUUGUGGGAAAUGAAUUAAAUUCUCUUUCCUUACACCUUAAUUUUGCAAUCUUCCUGCUCAUAAUGCUGCUCCUUAGAUCUGUAAAAAGAAUGUAAUCUGUGCUUAAGGACCAGGACCUGCCAAUGCCCAGAUCAUCCAUUUAGUGUCCUUGCUGAAGAAAUAAUAGGGACAAGCCAACCUGAGGCAGAUUUUUGUCCCACUGGAUAGCAAGAUUAUCACAAAUUUUUGAAGAUCACAAGAACUUUAGA